UACGGAGGGUGCAAGCGUUGUUCGGAAUUAUUGGGCGUAAAGAGCAUGUAGGCGGCUCGCCAAGUCUGAUGUGAAAGCCCUGGGCUCAACCCAGGAAGUGCAUUGGAAACUGGCGAACUUGAGUACGGGAGAGGAAAGUGGAAUUUCGAGUGUAGGGGUGAAAUCCGUAGAUAUUCGAAGGAACACCAGUGGCGAAGGCGGCUUUCUGGACCGAUACUGACGCUGAGAUGCGAAAGCGUGGGGAGCAAACAGGAUUAGAUACCCCCGUA
rnacentral:rRNA from 1 species